AUUGAACGCUAGCGACAGGCUUAACACAUGCAAGUCGAGGGGCAGCGGGGAGUAGCAAUACUCUGCCGGCGACCGGCGCACGGGUGAGUAACGCGUAUGCAACUUACCUAUCAGAGGAGAAUAGCUCAUCGAAAGAUGAAUUAAUGCUCCAUAAAACAGGGGUCCCGCAUGGGAAUAUUUGUUAAAGAUUUAUCGCUGAUAGAUAGGCAUGCGUUCCAUUAGGCAGUUGGCGGGGUAACGGCCCACCAAACCGACGAUGGAUAGGGGUUCUGAGAGGAAGGUCCCCCACAUUGGUACUGAGACACGGACCAA
rnacentral:rRNA from 1 species